CCCUUAGAUGUCCUGGGCCGCACGCGUGCUACACUGAUGCAUACAGCGAGUACUCCCAGCUCCGCGAGGCUGCUGGUAAUCAGCAAUAUGCAUCGUGAUGGGGAUAGAUCUUUGGAAUUAUAGAUCUUGAACGAGGAAUUCCUAGUAAACGCAAGUCAUCACCUUGCGUUGACUAAGUCCCUGCCCUUUGUACACACCGCCCGUCGCUCCUACCGAUUUCAAGUGAUCCGGUGAAUCAUUCGGACCGCGUGGGCUUGACCUAACGUGGAAAGUCUAGUAAACCAUAUCACUUAGAGGAAGGAGAAGUCGUAACA
rnacentral:rRNA from 1 species